rnacentral:rRNA from 1 species
UACGUAGGUGGCGAGCGUUGUUCGGAUUUAUUGGGCGUAAAGGGUUCGUAGGUGGUUUACUAAGUUUGAUGUGAAAUCCCGAGGCUCAACCUCGGAACUGCAUUGAAAACUGGUAGACUUGAGGAUCGGAGAGGAAAGCGGAAUUCCAGGUGUAGCGGUGGAAUGCGUAGAUAUCUGGAAGAACACCGACAGCGAAGGCAGCUUUCUGGACGGAACCUGACACUGAGGGACGAAAGCGUGGGUAGCGAACAGG